GAACGCACAUUGCGCCCCUUGGUAUCCCGAGGGGCAUGCCUGUUCGAGCGUCAUUUCACCACUCAAGCCUGGCUUGGUGUUGGACGGUUUGGUGGAGGCCCCCUCGGGGGCUCCUGCCCCUCCCAAAGACAAUGACGGCGGCCUCGUUGGACCCCCGGUACACUGAGUUCUUCACGGGACACGUAUCGGACACAUGGGUUUACGGGACACGGUCUGCCUCCCCUCAGGGAGAAUCUUUCUAAGGUUGACCUCGGAUCAGGUAGGGAUACCCGCUGAACUUAAG
rnacentral:misc_RNA from 1 species